rnacentral:misc_RNA from 1 species
ACGUCAUCCCCACCUUCCUCCGGUUUGUCACCGGCAGUCCCAUUAGAGUGCCCAACUGAAUGUAGCAACUAAUGGCAAGGGUUGCGCUCGUUGCGGGACUUAACCCAACAUCUCACGACACGAGCUGACGACAGCCAUGCAGCACCUGUGUUGCGGUUCCCUUUCGGGCACCGAGGUAUCUCUACCCCCUUCCGCACAUGUCAAGGGUAGGUAAGGUUUUUCGCGUUGCAUCGAAUUAAUCCACAUAAUCCACCGCUUGUGCGGGUCCCCGUCAAUUCCUUUGAGUUUUAGCCUUGCGGCCGUACUCCCCAGGCGGUCAACUUCACGCGUUAGCUUCGUUACCAAGGAAUUACUUCCCCGACAACCAGUUGACAUCGUUUAGGGCGUGGACUACCAGGGU